rnacentral:misc_RNA from 1 species
GAGAGAGAGAGAGAGAGAGAGUUAGUUAGGAAGGAAGAAAUACCUGGUCUGCUCCAAGUCUGCUGGCAGCACGAGUUGAAGCCUUAGUUUAUGCUGUUAAAAAAAAAUUAUAAGUGGAUGUUAUUUUGCUCAUCGGUCCCCCCACGCCUCUUGCCUCAGCGCUCUCGGGUGCUCACCUCCUUCAAGUUGACUUGCCUCAGCUAGGUGAGGUAGCAGGGCCUCGCCUUGCCUUGCUUUUGCCUUUUUCCGCCUUUAACGACACUGUUGUGCAUCUGUAAUAUAUUAAGCUUUCAAGACAAGUGGAUAUUGGAGUAAGAAUCAUGUGUUCAAACUAAGCAACCCUUCUGUGUUGGUUAGUUUGGUGAGAGCCCCACAUGUGCAGAUGGGCAAAUGGGAGCACAUAGAUUGCACCCCUUUGUUUUCAAAUUUAAUUUGCUCAUUAAGUGCAAGGAAAAAAAAAAAA